rnacentral:lncRNA from 1 species
CAAAUGACAUCCUGCACACAUCUGAGCAACUUGUUCUUUGGUGAGCAGUGGAAUUCCUACUGCGACUCCAGCUGCACCAGAGUUGCUUUUUUGCACUUGAAAUCUUAACUGGAAGCUUUUUUUUUUUUUACAGUGUUUUGAUUCCUUUUUAAUAAAUGGCUAAUCCCUUGCUGCAGGGGAUGGGAGUGUUUUGAAUGCAGCGUUUUUGGUCCUGAGGGGAGGGGAAAGGGAGUGCCCUGUAUUGCUUUCCAGCAGCCGCCCGCCUUCCCUGCGCCUGAGUGAAAGAGCCUUAUUGACUGGUUUUGAAGGUAAUAUGCCCAAAUUCUCCUCUUACGUGGUAAAACCAUAAAUUUUGCUGUAGCGCAGCGCCUUUGAGGGGAAGAGAUGGAAUGUCAGGGAGUCUGUGCUUCAUCAGGAGCAGGCUGGUAACAAAGGCAGUGCCUGUUAAUUGCAUCGCGCUGAUCAAAAUCUCCCCUUUAAAUGACAAAGUCCCGUUUUAAUAGGUGUGAAAAGUUGUGGGAUUUGAUUUAAUACCAGUGUCUUAAAAUCAUCUUGCACGCUCUGUAUGACUAAGUUGUCUCUUUCAUAUUUAAUUGGAGAACAAGCAGAGGCUGAGGAGGAAGCUUUAUGUGUUUCCCUUGCUCUUAAAUGCUCUUUAAAAUCUUCACUCCAUUUAGAUAAGGAUCGUGAACGGGUCGUGAGUGACUUGUCAAGCGCCGAGCUGCCACUGAUUUUCUUACAGGCAUGUAAAACACCCUUUGCAUGCCCCUUAAAGCUGGAAGCUCGUCCCACAGUGUGCUGCAGGCUGGGGUGUUGCUGCUGUCCAGCCCAGCAAGCGAUUUUGGAGGCCUUCUCAGGCAGCUCACCACUUCCAAAAGCUCUUGUAGCAUCAAAGGCAAAGGAGGCAGCUAUCCCUCUGCAUCUGGAAAUGCCUUUCUCGUGA